rnacentral:rRNA from 1 species
UACGUAGGGUGCGAGCGUUAAUCGGAAUUACUGGGCGUAAAGCGUGCGCAGGCGGUUGUGCAAGACAGAUGUGAAAUCCCCGGGCUUAACCUGGGAACUGCAUUUGUGACUGCACGGCUGGAGUACGGCAGAGGGGGAUGGAAUUCCGCGUGUAGCAGUGAAAUGCGUAGAUAUGCGGAGGAACACCGAUGGCGAAGGCAGUCCCCUGGGCCUGUACUGACGCUCAUGCACGAAAGCGUGGGGAGCAAACAGGAUUAGAAACCCCCGUAGUCC